rnacentral:lncRNA from 10 species
GGGCCUCGGGCCCAGCCGCAGCCCCCUGCCCGAUCCACGGGCACGGGCGACCCCUGGCGCUGGGUCCUCCGCUCACGCCGCGAUCCCCACCCCGAGCCGCCCACUCUGGACCCCCGAGGGGGGCUGGGGACCGGGGGCCCCGGAACCAGGGGGAGGGGCUGCCUCGGAACAGGGUCCUCGCCUCCUAAGGACGGGAAGAGGCGUCGAGUACCCUUUGGAGUAGGGGGCCGGAAAUUGAAGACCCAUUUGCAGUGGGCUCUCCAGCGGGUGGCAAAGGUCGCCUGAUCCUCACAGAAGCUGUCGGAGCUAGGCUGGCCAGUUCGGUAGACCCUAGGCACGGUGGCUGCCGAGCAUUGAAACGUAGGUAAUCUGAACUGAGAUGGGCUGUUAAGUGUGAAGAACACACUGGCUUUUAUGGGCUCAGUAAGUUAAAAUAAUGUGAAAUAUUUCAUUACUGAUUCUUAAAUAUUGAUGGUCUAUCAAAAUAAUAGUGUUUUGGAUACAUUGUGUUAAAUGACUUGUUUUGAAAUUAGAAAAUGUAAAAUUACAUACUUGGUUUCCAUUUGCUGCUCACUUACGCAUAUUUUUGUUGACUACCACCGGCUUCUGGUAAGCAUUAUUACUACCCCAAUUUCAUAGCUCCGAAAGCGAGGUUGAAAGACCUGACCAGCCACAAAGCUAGGAAGGGAAGGAAUCUAAAGCCUUUGUAUAAAUAAAAAGCCCAGGUGAGUUUUAAAGGCUUGGGUGGGCUGUGGUAAGGACCUGACUUAAUUAUUCACAAAGAUGGCCCUGCACGGUGGACUAGGUAACAGGGGCUUGGGGACUGCCUUUGGUUCCCAGCACAUUCCAACUAUAUAAUGAUGAUAAUUACAGGUGCCUUGGAGCUGGCUUUGUGGUAGGAGAUGAGAAGCCAUAUAUGAAAGCACAUUGAGUUUAUGGAGUAAAAAUGCCUUGGUAAAACCCAAGGUGAUGGGCUGGGCGCGGUGGCUCACGCCUGUAAUCCCAGCACUUUGGGAGGCUUAGGCGGGUGGAUCACGAGGUCAGGAGAUCGAGACCAUCCUGGCUAACACGGUGAAACCCCGUCUCUACUAAAAAUACAAAAAAAUUAGCCGAGCCUGGUGGCAGGCAUCUAUAGUCCCAGCUACUCGGGAGGCUGAGGCAGGAGAAUGGCGUGAACCCGGGAGGCGGAGCUUGCAGUGAGCCGAGAUGGCGCCACUGCACUCCAGCCCAGGCGACAGAGCCAGACUGCGUCUCAAUAAAAAACAACAACAAAAAACCCAAGAUGAUGCUGUCAUUCCUAAUGUGCACCCUACCUGCCACCUCAAUAGUUGGUCUGUAUCGGAGGUGGAAACUAAAGCCAGAUGUCUGUGAGUAGCCUCUUAGGCCAAGUUAGGUCUUAAUCACCCCAGCUUUAGGAAGCGCCCAGCAUCCUCCCAGAUGUAGGUAGGCAGGUGCCUAGUGCCUCUUCUCAGGGUGGGGACAGAUUUCCUAGAAUUUCUCCUCCUCUCUCCCCUCUCCCUGCUGCUGGGCCCCCAGUGGACAACCUGUCCCUCGGAUGCUACUCCCAGGUACCCAGGGCUUGACCUCCACCUUCUCCCCACCCCCACCCCAACUCUCACAUCUUGGCUCUUCACCACAGCCGGAGCCUUCCAGAUCCUCUCCAGAGAAUGGCUCUCCUUGGGGUACCUUCACUCAUUACACAGUUCUGAAAAGAUUUUUCCAGAGAUAAUUGCUUCUUGGCCUUUGUGUUUUAAUUCAGCGUGAAAUCUGAGGCCAAAUAGGAGCAGAGGAUGAGACCUGAAAGGGACAGCACUAGGGACACGGGGACCCCUAGCAGCUGGGCGUUUCCCGGCCUGUGGAGCAUGUGCCCACUCUGCUGUUCCUAGCUCAGUCCUCCAGCAAGUCACUGCACCUCUCUGAGCUUCUCUGGAAAUGGGUUUUUCUUACGUUGGGGAGCUGGGAGGCACUGUGCGUGAACUGGACAUUAGUGAGCGCACAGAAAAUAAAUCCAUGGCAGUGUUCACGGGCGCAGGCCAGGUACCUGAUUGUCUGCUCUGGAUCGCUGGCAGUGAAUGUUCUGCCCAAGUCGGCCUUCUCCUGCCUGGCAGUUCACGCCCAGCCUACUUCUCUCUGACGCGCUCCUCCCUCGGUGCCGCCCGUGAUGUGUGUUAGUAUAUAAUCAGAGAAACUCACACGCGGAGUUUUAAAUAAUGCCUGCCCUGCCUAAGGUGACUCAUCUGAGGCCGUGAGUUCCUGCUCUCCCCUCCCUCGCGGCAAGUGUAGAUAUCCCCAACCCCACCUCGCUGUCACUAAGCAACUCGACCUUGUACAGCACCGAUGCAGAUAAUAACAGGAGGAAAUAGAGCCUGCUAAUUGUCCCCUUCCCUAGAAUAGGUUUUUAAGGAGCAAUCUCUCCCCUUUCAUGUAUUUUUCAGUGUCUAAAGAGGAGCAGCUCCACCGGCUGUUGGGUGGGCCGGGGAUGGGGAAGGGGAAGAGGACCAACCUCCUCCAGCCUCAAGUCACUUCCUGCUUUAGACAGGAUGCCACUCGCAGUGUCUGAGCCACCCCUACCCUGAAGGCAUCAUUGGCGGGGUGAGGGGCGGGGGGCGGGGAAGGGCAGGUGUAAUGACAAAAUUCAGACUAGAGAAUGUGUUCCAGGUAGGAGGCUGAGCCACAUCUGUCUUUCACAAAAGGACAUAAGCUCUUACCCUUUUGCCUGCCCUUCCCGCCUGCUGCUUCAGAGGGCCCAACGAGAAGGGUCCUGGUGAGAAUGUUCUAGUGAAACGUACCCUGUGAAUAUGUGGUGUUAUGAUGAUAUCGUUACUGUUCACUGAUGCCAUCUCUAAGGGUGACAGUCGUGAUCUAGUUGAAAUAGAUUUAGUUGGUCCAAGUAAGAGAGUCCUGGAACUUCAAAAACACUAGUUUCCUCUGCAGAAUGAUGAAAACCCAAGGACCAUCCCAGCAAUACAAUUGUCUAAAUUUGUAUGGUACAGUCUUGCAUCCUGUUUGUGCCCUCAGAGAACUAGCCACACUCUCCGCUCCAACUUCUCUUUCCCAUGAAACUCAUCCAGUGCAGCCCCUGUCUGCUAUUUUUUAAAUAAAAGCAUCUCUUUAUGAAGAUGGAAGAAUUUUGUUCAAAG